ensembl:misc_RNA Y_RNA Y RNA
GUUUGGUCCGAGUGUAGUGGUGUGUACUAUUAAUUGAUCACAACCAGUCACAGAUUCCUUUGUUCCUUCUACACCCCCACUGCUUCACCUGACCAGUAAA